GCUCUCUUAGCAGUACAUAUACUAAAAGUGAAACGAUACAGAGAAGAUUAGCAUGGCCCCUGUGCAAGGA
rnacentral:snRNA from 1 species